UUUGGAUAUAUUGAUGCUAGAUUGGUGCGAACAAUGGUCUUAGCAAAUAAGGAAAAAAAACACCAGAGAAGCUGGCUAAAACCAAUGAUUGUGCGGGCUAUCCUAAUUAAGAUUGCAUUCAGCAUGAGAAACUAUGUACAUUUGGCAUCCUAAGAUUUCAUUUCAAACUCAUUGGUCACAACGAUAUCAUUUUGCUGCAUCGCUCUCUAUCCUAGCCUGCC
rnacentral:lncRNA from 1 species